GACAGAGGGUGCAAACGUUGUUCGGAAUUACUGGGCGUAAAGCGAGUGUAGGCGGUCUGCUAAGUCGGGUGUGAAAGCCCCGGGCUCAACCCGGGAAGUGCACUCGAAAACUGGCAGGCUAGAGUAUCGGAGAGGUUGGUGGAAUUCUCGGUGUAGAGGUGAAAUUCGUAGAUAUCGAGAGGAACACCGGUGGCGAAGGCGGCCAACUGGACGAAUACUGACGCUGAGACUCGAAAGCGUGGGGAGCAAACAGG
rnacentral:rRNA from 1 species